CGGCAUCCGUCUGUGUCCCUGAGUCCAUAAAGCCCUCCAUCCCGCAGCGGCUGGCUAGGAGGGCAUCGCUGGCUGAGAGGCAAGGACUGGCUGGGCAGUGUCCAGGGCCAGGAGCACUCAGGGCCGAGUCCCG